UAAAUCUCCCCCAAUGUGUCCAUUUCCCUCUCCCCCAGUCAGUGAUAGACAGCUGUACUGCCAAAAUAUGACCCUGACCAUGCCACUAAGAUGCUUCAACUAGAACCCAAAGGACCUUUCUCAGUGAUAUAUUGAUUAAACCUGCUCCUCAAAUCCCCGACAACCUCCAAAUGGGAACACCACACUCCACUCCAUCCUCCCCACAGUGACUGUGUACCAGACACUCUAUCACAUUUCUGCCUCUGCGAUAGGUCACACUUGGACCCGCGGAGCCAGAUGUUUUAGGACAUGAUCCUUGUUUUGUACACAUGAAGAAUGUGAAUUCUGCCAUAGAGUCAGAGAGGAAUUGUGUGUCAGUUUGUAGGCCAAUACUGCCAUCUGGUGGUAGUACUCAUUUACAUUUGAUCCAAUUGUUUUCUGUAUUGUA